AUACGGAGGAUCCGAGCGUUAUCCGGAUUUAUUGGGUUUAAAGGGUGCGCAGGCGGCCAUUUAAGUCAGCGGUUAAAUCGUGGGGCUCAACCCCAUUCUGCCGUUGAUACUGGGUGGCUUGAUUGCGGUCGAGGUUGGCGGAAUUCGUUGUGUAGCGGUGAAAUGCAUAGAUAUGACGAAGAACACCGAUUGCGUAGGCAGCUGACCAGACCGCAAAUGACGCUCAUGCACGAAAGUGCGGGGAUCGAACAGGAUUAGAUACCCUGGUAGUCCGCACAGUAAACGAUGAAUACUUGUUUUCGGCGAUAUAAUGUCGGAGGCAAAGCGAAAGCGAUAAGUAUUCCACCUGGGGAGUACGCCGGCAACGGUGAGACUCAAAUGAAUUGACGGGG
rnacentral:rRNA from 1 species